AGAGUUUGAUCAUGGCUCAGAACGAACGCUGGCGGCGUGGAUAAGACAUGCAAGUCGAGCGGGAUUUUUUCUAGUAGCAAUACCGGGAAAAAUCUAGCGGCGAACGGGUGCGUAACACGUGGGCAAUCUGUCGUAAAGUGUGGGAUAGCUCGGCGAAAGCCGAAUUAAUACCGCAUGUGAUUAGCGGAGACAUCUUCGCGACAUCAAAGGUGGCGCAAGCUACCGCUUUUUGAGGAGCCCGCGGCCUAUCAGCUUGUUGGUGAGGUAACGGCUCACCAAGGCUUUGACGGGUAGCUGGUCUGAGAGGACGACCAGCCACACUGGGACUGAGACACGGCCCAGACACCUACGGGUGGCAGCAGUCGAGAAUUUUUGACAAUGGGGGAAACCCUGAUCGAGCGACGCCGCGUGGAGGAUGAAGGUCUUCGGGUUGUAAACUCCUGUCAUUUGGGAACAAUGGUUACGCGUUUACUGCGUGUGACUUGAUAGUACCAGAAGAGGAAGAGACGGCUAACUCUGUGCCAGCAGCCGCGGUAAUACAGAGGUCUCAAGCGUUGUUCGGAUUCAUUGGGCGUAAAGGGUGUGUAGGUGGCGCCGUAAGUCAGGUGUGAAAUCUCGGGGCUUAACUCCGAAACUGCAUUUGAUACUGCGGUGCUUGAGGACUGGAGAGGAGACUGGAAUUUACGGUGUAGCAGUGAAAUGCGUAGAUAUCGUAAGGAAGACCAGUGGCGAAGGCGGGUCUCUGGACAGUUCCUGACACUGAGACACGAAGGCCAGGGGAGCAAACGGGAUUAGAUACCCUAGUAGUCC
rnacentral:rRNA from 1 species